CCUUACAUUGGGGGAUAGCCUUUCGAAAGGGAGAUUAAUACCGCAUAAGACAGUAGCUGGGCAUCCAGCAGCUGUUAAAGAUUUAUCGAUGUAAGAUGGGCAUGCGUCCAAUUAGUUAGUUGGCGAGGUAAUGGCUCACCAAGACUUUGAUUGGUAGGGGAACUGAGAGGUCAAUCCCCCACACUGGCACCGAGAUACGGGCCAGACUCCUACGGGAGGCAGCAGUAGGGGAUAUUGGGCAAUGGACGCAAGUCUGACCCAGCCAUGCCGCGUGCAGGAUGAAGGCGUUAUGCGUUGUAAACUGCUUUUAUACAGGAAGAAACGACUCUUGCGAGAGGCAUUGACGGUACUGUAUGAAUAAGCACCGGCUAACUCCGUGCCAGCAGCCGCGGUAAUACGGAGGGUGCAAGCGUUGUCCGGAUUUAUUGGGUUUAAAGGGUGCGCAGGUGGUUUAUUAAGUCAGUGGUGAAAGACGGUCGCUCAACGAUUGCAGUGCCAUUGAUACUGGUAGACUUGAGUAAAGUAGAGGUGGGCGGAAUUGAUAGUGUAGCGGUGAAAUGCAUAGAUAUUAUCAAGAACUCCAAUUGCGUAGGCAGCUCACUUGGCUUUUACUGACACUCAUGCACGAAAGUGUGGGUAUCAAACAGGAUUAGAUACCCUGGUAGUCCACACUGUAAACGAUGAUAACUAGGUGUCGGCCGAAUCUGGUCGGUGCCACAGCGAAAGCGUUAAGUUAUCCACCUGGGGAGUACGCCGGCAACGGUGAAACUCAAAGGAAUUGACGGGGGUCCGCACAAGCG
rnacentral:rRNA from 1 species